rnacentral:rRNA from 1 species
CGCAUUAGCUAGUCGGCGGGGUAACGGCCCACCGAGGCGACGAUGCGUAGGGGUUCUGAGAGGAAGGUCCCCCACACUGGUACUGAGACACGGACCAGACUCCUACGGGAGGCAGCAGUGAGGAAUAUUGGUCAAUGGGCGGGAGCCUGAACCAGCCAAGUCGCGUGAGGGAAGACGGUCCUAUGGAUUGUAAACCUCUUUUGCCGGGGAGCAACGGGGUCCUUGCGAGGGCCUAAUGAGAGUACCCGGAGAAAAAGCAUCGGCUAACUCCGUGCCAGCAGCCGCGGUAAUACGGAGGAUGCGAGCGUUAUCCGGAUUUAUUGGGUUUAAAGGGUGCGUAGGCGGGCUGUUAAGUCAGCGGUCAAAUGUCGGGGCUCAACCCCGGCCUGCCGUUGAAACUGGCGGCCUCGAGUGGGCGAGAAGUAUGCGGAAUGCGUGGUGUAGCGGUGAAAUGCAUAGAUAUCACGCAGAACUCCGAUUGCGAAGGCAGCAUACCGGCGCCCUACUGACGCUGAGGCACGAAAGCGUGGGUAUCGAACAGGAUUAGAUACCCUGGUAGUCCACGCAGUAAACGAUGAAUGCUAGCUGUCCGGUUCUACGGGACUGGGUGGC